AGCGAACGCUGGCGGCAGGCCUAACACAUGCAAGUCGAACGAACCCUUCGGGGUUAGUGGCGGACGGGUGAGUAACACGUGGGAACGUGCCUUUAGGUUCGGAAUAACUCAGGGAAACUUGUGCUGAUACCGAAUGUGCCCUUCGGGGGAAAGAUUUAUCGCCUUUAGAGCGGCCCGCGUCUGAUUAGCUAGUUGGUGAGGUAAUGGCUCACCAAGGCUACGAUCAGUAGCUGGUCUGAGAGGAUGACCAGCCACAUUGGGACUGAGACACGGCCCAAACUCCUACGGGAGGCAGCAGUGGGGAAUCUUGAGCAAUGGGCGAAAGCCUGACGCAGCCAUGCCGCGUGGAUGAUGAAGGUCUUAGGAUUGUAAAAUCCUUUCACCGGUGAAGAUAAUGACUGUAGCCGGAGAAGAAGCCCCGGCUAACUUCGUGCCAGCCGCCGCGGUAACAC
rnacentral:rRNA from 1 species